rnacentral:rRNA from 1 species
GACGAACGCUGGCGGCGUGCCUAAUACAUGCAAGUGGGACGCAAGGAAACACACUGUGCUUGCACACCGUGUUUUCUUGAGUCGCGAACGGGUGAGUAACGCGUAGGUAACCUGCCUAUUAGCGGGGGAUAACUAUUGGAAACGAUAGCUAAUACCGCAUAAUAUUAAUUAUUGCAUGAUAAUUGAUUGAAAGAUGCAAGCGCAUCACUAGUAGAUGGACCUGCGUUGUAUUAGCUAGUUGGUAAGGUAAGAGCUUACCAAGGCGACGAUACAUAGCCGACCUGAGAGGGUGAUCGGCCACACUGGGACUGAGACACGGCCCAGACUCCUACGGGAGGCAGCAGUAGGGAAUCUUCGGCAAUGGACGAAAGUCUGACCGAGCAACGCCGCGUGAGUGAAGAAGGUUUUCGGAUCGUAAAGCUCGGUUGUAAGUCAAGAACGUGUGUGAGAGUGGAAAGUUCACACAGUGACGGUAGCUUACCAGAAAGGGACGGCUAACUACGUG